AUCAUCUCCUCAUAGGCUUCCUCAGCGCUCUUGAGGGGCCGUCCGGAACUGGGAGUGGUGGAGCUGCCAGAGGGUGUCUCGGUUGGAGAGAAAACUAAACUCUGAGACGUUUUAGGAACGUACCCUCAUGGUUCCCUGGCUCGGAAGUGUUGCUGCUGGCAAGAUCAGCCCUGACAGCUCUGCACAGCUCCUAGACCACAGCCUGGACAGCCUGGAUCCUGAUGCCUUCUACAGUCCUGCCUCUUCCAAAGGCCAAGUCAGGCUCUAGAAGUCAGCGCUGCAAACCCUGGCAGAGGCCCCUAAAGGUCAAUCCCAGUUCUAGAAACUCUAAGAACGGUGAUGUUGAAGCUGUGAGGUAUGAAGCCAUUCGCCUAGCUGGGAACCAUUAACAUACCCAGAUGCUUUUUAAGAAGCAAAGCAGUUUUGUCUAUGUUUGGGCAGAGAAAGCCACAGAGAAAACAAUUUCAGUCCCUGAACCCAGUCUAAAGACCUCUUUAGAAAGGUGAUUCUUAGGAAGGAGGGGCUCACUCCCAUUAAAGUGGGAGUUCCCAAAAGCAGGCCACUUCUACUCAUCCGGAGAGGGACACUGGAAGGGGAUUACUCCCCAGAGGGAAAGCUCAGCCCCUGGUUCAGGGUGGCAGCCACAAAUUCAGUUCUUGCCAUGGGUGCCCAGCCCACACCCAAGAUCUCAUCUCUCUCAUUCACCUGGCCACUGCAGCAUGCCCUGAGGUGAGACUUCUUCCCGGAAAAGGGGAUUUUGGAGGUAAGGCUUCUUAUCCUGGGACUUUGGGGUGACUCUCCCUGGGGUUCUAAAUCAGGCUCAACAAAGGCACGUGCCAAACCUCCUGCACUUACCGCCAGAACUUUCCUUUCCCCAGCCCCAGUUAUCCAGGCUGUGGCACAGGCAUCUCACCUAAAAUAGAAAUUCUCCAAGAAAAGGCUGAAACACCCCUCAAUGACUCAUCGCCCAGAUGGGUGCAGCUAUUUCUAGCCAGCCUCUUCCAGACGGUGAGGAACCUUGACCGCACCCUCCUCACAGCCCCUCCCAGGCUCAGGCCCAGCAUGCAAGACCUCCUAAGGAGGACACUGGCUGAGGGAGUUCUCUGAGGCCAAAGAGACCUCCCCAUCUCUGCCUCUCCCACAGAUCCCCAGGAGUUUCCUGGAAGGAGCCCAACCUCAGCCUCUUCCUAUCUGCUACAAGGCCCCCUCCAUCUUCCAGGGGAUGGAGGCUGUCCACGGGGUAGGGAGAAAGAUGAUAGCCGUGCACCCCAACCUACCUGCUCACCCAGCCUGGGUAUACAUGAAUAGUCCUGUGGCAGACUCCCCUGGCUUGAGUACCAGCACGAUUAGAGCCUUCCUUAGCUGCGCAGUGAUGCCUCCUCAUCAGGAGGUUGGGCCCAGAAGGCCCCCUGUGGCUCCUAGGCCUCUCCAAGCUGACUGUCCACCAGAAUCAGAAGAGCUAUGCUUCUACCAGUGUGACAAGAAGGCUCAGCUAGGGUUCUGCUGUCUAAUACCUCCAAGACCCUGAUCUGGCACAUGGGCAGAUGUACAGGCCAGCAGCCAUUAGCCUCAUGUCCCAGGAGCCUUCCUGGGGGUACCGUAAGGUGGACAGCUCUGCUGGACAUUAGCUUCUAUCAAGCUGAUCCUUCUUGCCAGCAAGGAAGCCCAUCUUGCCAUCUCCAAGGAUUGGUAGGCACCUCCAUGGAAGCCUAUGCACCCUAGCCCAGUAGGGGCCUGGAUAGCAGCAAGGAUGGGAAGGCUCAGUGCAGUACAAGGUCAAGAGGUUGUUUGAGGGGUAGGGGAAGCAGAAGCUACAGGAAGCCUUCCUACAGGCUUUGCAGGGAGCCACUGCCACCUGCUCUGCCAUGAGUCUGCUAGUGACUUGGAAAGGCAGGGCCCUGUGGGCUCUGUGGCUCUGAGAGGACUUUCUCCCUCAGAAGAGUCUUUCUUAGCUGCUUCCUUACUCAAACUGUUCAGUGUGCAGAAGGGCAGCUAAGGUGGCACUGGCUACCAAGGAUCCAGAGGCUUGGGGCCCAAGCUGGGGGCUGUAUGAACCCUAAGUUGAAUGAGGAGCUGUGAUCUGUCUGCAAUGGUCACUCCCUGCACAUUCCUCCAAUGGGCUCUGGAGCAAGGAGGGCAGCUCUGGGAAGAGCUUCUACAUCUUCCCUUGCAGGAACACUGGCUACAAAGAGUGUCUCAACCCUCAAGAGUGGGACCCAGCCUUGCUUGCCAUAUCUGGCCCCAAAGGAUGCUCACAGGGUGGAGUCUGCCUCACUGUCAACUCCAUGGCUACCAGGAAGCUCUGAGAGCCCCCAGAAGUCACAUGUUCUCUUCCCACUCCCCUCCCCUCACUCCCCAGCAGCAAGGAAAAGGAGGGCUGCAGACGUCAGUCAGCCUUUGUCCUGUGGAGAGCCCCAGCCCUACCAGGGAGAGCAGGCACUCAGUGUUUCAGAUCACUCAGCACUGACAUCACGCCUGAUGCUGCAUUCAUGUUUUCCAUUUUGGCACAAGUUGAAACAUCACAGAAACAGCUCAUAAAGGAGCCCUCCCUGCAGGUGCCAAAUCUAGAGGUUCUUAGGAGGGCCCUACUGACUAGUGUAACUAUAUGCCUUUCUGGGCUAUGAGUCACUGGCCAGGUCUCAGCUGGAGAAACAUACCUCCCCAUGUCCCAUAGAUAACAAGGACAGGCCAAUGUGCAGAAGGGCAGCUAAGGUGGCAGCUGUGAGGGAGGGAGCCAGGCCUGGCCUGGAUCCUCACACUGCUAUAGCAAUGGACAUGUCACCUGCCCCAUCUAGCACCUUAACUGUCAGCUGGCUGACCUCAGGCUUAGGAAGCAGGUACCACAGGAUCCCAGUGGGCACAGUCACACUGAUCCAGAGCUGGACCAGCCAGGUGAGGCCUGUGCCAAUCUAUCAGAGUCCUGAGGAAGGUCUUGGAAACCUACCCAGCAUCUGAGGUCAAGAUCUGGGGAGUGGAGGGUGAACCUAAUCGCUUCUUGGGGCUAGAAGGCCUCACUGGCUUGGAUCUUCACAAAAGGGAGGAAAUCCAUUCCCUUGUUGAUCCCUGAACACAUCUGCCUCUCCGCCUCCAGUAUUUCUCAACUCCUCCCACACUGCUCUAGACAGCCUCCCCUCCCUCCCAGCCUGAUCCAGUGCACCCUGUAACGCACCCCGUCCAUGACCUGCCAACUCACCUGCACCCUCCCCAUACACGCUUCUCUUAGUCCCCAGUCACCCUCUCCAGGUGUGCCCUUGGACUAGCCUCAACUUCUCCUUAAAAUCCCCAGGACCCUUUGGCUCAUCCCCAGCUUCCCCACAUUUCUCCCUGGCUUCUGCUGCCCUCCUAGCCCCUUCAUCCUGGCCUGCAAGUCCUUGGCCCUUGCCUCCUAAACUCCCACUAAAUGACUCUCAUGGUCACUCCAGAUGACCUGCAACCCACAUGGGGCUGAGCUGCAGACCGCUUCUCAAAGCUUACCAACUGGAAUAAUUAAUCUCUGUACAUUGCAUUAUAUGUAAACUUUACCUAAAAAAAAAGAAACCUUACAUAAAUGCUGAACUCUAGUUAAUGAUAUGCUUGGUGAAGUGCUUAGUUGGAAGUAUACUGAUGUCAGCAAUGUACUGUUUUUUUUUGUUUGUUUGUUUGUUUUUUUGAGACAGGGUCUGGUUCUGUUACCCAGGUUGAUGUGCAGCAGCAUGAUC